rnacentral:sRNA from 1 species
GUCCCUGCUCCAAGGCCUCUGAGCAUUUUCUUCACUGUGUUGUGGGCCCUUAAGAGCAAAGAAACAUACUGUUUUCCUAACAUGAAAUAGGCUUAAGUGUAUGAAAAUGCACUAUUAAAUCUCACAGUUUGUUGAUCAUCUUUUUUCAGACACAAAGCUCCACAAGGCAUCUCGGGAAGAAGACUGAAUUUCAGAUGGUCGUGGCUGUGAACAGAGUCCUUAAAGCAAUCAACUCCAGCUGUACCUGUUUACCGGGUUAGAGGAGAGAAAGGAGCUAACACCUCAGCUGGAGCCAAAGGGCUCUGUGACACUGAGUGAUAUAGGACAAUGGUUUGGUACAAAGACACUGGAGCCAGGCCACCAUGGGUCCUGUGUGACCUCAUCAUUCUUUAACUGGGCAACUUUGGAAUGACCAUUUGGUAGCAGACAACCAAUUGGUGGGGACAACCAAUUCCCCAGGUAAGAUGAU